rnacentral:pre_miRNA from 1 species
AAACUACUCCCUCCGUUCCAUAUUAAGUGACUUUCUAUCACAAGUAUCUAGACGCUUUUUAGGCAUAGAAACAUCCAUAUUUAGGAAAAUUUGAGUCACUUAAUAUGGGACGGAGGGAGUAUAAG